GUGGGGAAUCUUGCGCAAUGGGCGAAAGCCUGACGCAGCCAUGCCGCGUGAAUGAUGAAGGUCUUAGGAUUGUAAAAUUCUUUCACCGGGGACGAUAAUGACGGUACCCGGAGAAGAAGCCCCGGCUAACUUCGUGCCAGCAGCCGCGGUAAUACGAAGGGGGCUAGCGUUGCUCGGAAUUACUGGGCGUAAAGGGAGCGUAGGCGGAUAGUUUAGUCAGAGGUGAAAGCCCAGGGCUCAACCUUGGAAUUGCCUUUGAUACUGGCUAUCUUGAGUAUGGAAGAGGUAUGUGGAACUCCGAGUGUAGAGGUGAAAUUCGUAGAUAUUCGGAAGAACACCAGUGGCGAAGGCGACAUACUGGUCCAUUACUGACGCUGAGGCUCGAAAGCGUGGGGAGCAAACAGGAUUAGAUACCCCAGUAGUCC
rnacentral:rRNA from 1 species